rnacentral:rRNA from 1 species
UGGGGAAUAUUGCACAAUGGGGGAAAACCCUGAUGCAGCGACGCCGCGUGGAGGAUGACGGCCUUCGGGUUGUAAACUCCUUUUGUCAGGGACAAUGGUGAUGGUACCUGACGAAUAAGCCACGGCUAACUCUGUGCCAGCAGCCGCGGUAAGACAGAGGUGGCGAGCGUUGUUCGGAAUUACUAGGCUUAAAGGGCGCGUAGGCGGUGGUGUAAGUCUGGGGUGGAAUGCUACAGCUCAACUGUAGAGCUGCCUUGGAAACUGCAUUACUUGAGUCGGUGAGGGGAAGCGGAAUUCCGUGGUGUAGCGGUGAAAUGCGUAGAUAUCGAGGAGGAAGGUCUGUGGCGAAGGCGGCCUUGUGGCACUUGACUGACGCUGAGGCGCGAAAGCGUGGGGANCG